GACUUGGCCGGCGGCGGCCUCCCGCCCGUUGCUCAAACGGUCCCGGCUCUCGUCACGUGGUCUGCUUCACUCUUCUCAGCAGGUCAAGAAAAAGCCUUUUUCCCCAGCCUAACUGGAAGACCUCCGGCUACAUGCUCACUGCAUCCUGUUUUGGAGCUGCAGAGAGACAUGACUGAAAAUGAAGACCAACCUGUCAGCACUGAGAGCAGUUAGCGUGAACACAGACACUCCGACAGAAGUUAGCUGGAUAAACGAGAGCAGCUUGCAUCCGGUUCUUCCGAACAGCCAGCUACGACUUGCCGAGAAUGCUGACAGAAUAGCAGAUAAAACACGCCAAACUGAACGCAUCCAAAAGAACAUCAGACGUAAAGAGACUGGGAGGGAGAGCAAGCUAAAUGAUUCCCUGAAGAGUGUUUGAUCAUUGUUCUCCACGAUAGCCUCAACUCAGCUGCCUGCCAUUUCUUCCAUUGCUUUGCUAAUUAGUGAGAGAAAUUAGAACUGUUUAAUAAAAUAGUGUUUAUUUUUGGCAAUGCAUUAA